AAUGAGCCUGCGAGUUGUGGUGUCUGGCAAGGUUAAGCAAACGCGAAGCCGUAGCGAAAGCGAGUCUGAAUAGGGCGCUUAGUCAGAUGCUGCAGACCCGAAACGAAGUGAUCUAUCCAUGAGCAAGUUGAAGCUAGUGUAAGAACUAGUGGAGGACUGAACCCAUAGGCGUUGAAAAGCCCCGGGAUGACUUGUGGAUAGGGGUGAAAGGCCAAUCAAACUUCGUGAUAGCUGGUUCUCUCCGAAAUAUAUUUAGGUAUAGCGUUGUGUCGUAAUAUAAGGGGGUAGAGCACUGAAUGGGCUAGGGCAUACACCAAUGUACCAAACCCUAUCAAACUCCGAAUACCUUAUAUGUAAUCACAGCAGUCAGGCGGCGAGUGAUAAAAUCCGUCGUCAAGAGGGAAACAACCCAGACUACCAGCUAAGGUCCCUAAAUCUUACUUAAGUGGAAAACGAUGUGAAGUUACUUAAACAACCAGGAGGUUGGCUUAGAAGCAGCCAUCCUUUAAAGAAAGCGUAAUAGCUCACUGGUCUAGUGAUUUUGCGCGGAAAAUAUAACGGGGCUAAAGUA
rnacentral:rRNA from 1 species